rnacentral:rRNA from 1 species
UACGUAGGGUGCGAGCGUUGUCCGGAAUUAUUGGGCGUAAAGGGCUCGUAGGCGGUUUGUCGCGUCGGGAGUGAAAACACACAGCUUAACUGUGUGCUGGCUUCCGAUACGGGCAGACUAGAGGUAUGCAGGGGAGAACGGAAUUCCUGGUGUAGCGGUGAAAUGCGCAGAUAUCAGGAGGAACACCGAUGGCGAAGGCAGGUCUCUGGGCCGAUACUGACGCUGAGGAGCGAAAGCGUGGGGAGCGAACAGG